UACAUACAGUAUCCACCUCCAUCACUCCAGUAUCCCUCUACAUACAGUAUGUAUCUACCUCCAUCACUCCAGUAUCUACCUCCAUCACUCCAGUAUCUACCUCCAUCACUACAGUAUCUACCUCCAUCACUCCAGUAUCUACCUCCAUCACUCCAGUAUCUACCUCCAUCUCUCCAGUAUCCCUGUACAUUGUUAAUAUGGUAUUGACCCUGUAUAUAGUCCCCUUCCCCCUCUACAUAUCUACCUCCAUCUCUCCAGUAUCACUGCACAUUGUAGAUAUGGUAUUGACCCUGUAUAUAGUCCCAUUCCCCCUCUACAUAUCUACCUCCAUCUCUCCAGUAUCAUUGCACAUUGUAGAUAUGGUAUUGACCCUGUAUAU
rnacentral:lncRNA from 13 species